CCCUUAGAUGUUCUGGGCCGCACGCGCGCUACACUGAUGCCUUCAACGAGUCCAACCUUGACCGAGAGGUCCGGGUAAUCUUUGAAACUGCAUCGUGAUGGGGCUAGAUUAUUGCAAUUAUUAAUCUUCAACGAGGAAUGCCUAGUAAGCGUGAUUCAUCAAAUCGCGUUGAUUACGUCCCUGCCCUUUGUACACACCGCCCGUCGCUCCUACCGAUUGAGUGUGUUGGUGAGGAGUUUGGAUUGGCCUCGGAAGGUGGUUCGCCACCGUCCGUAGCUGAGAAGUUCUCCAAACCGCCCCACUUAGAGGAAGGAGAAGUCGUAACA
rnacentral:rRNA from 1 species